rnacentral:rRNA from 1 species
ACAAUGGAGAGUUUGAUCCUGGCUCAGGAUGAACGCUAGCGGCAGGCUUAACACAUGCAAGUCGAGGGGUAGAAUGUCUUCGGAUGUUUGAGACCGGCGAACGGGUGCGUAACACGUAUGCAACCUACCUUUUACUGGGAGAUAGCCCGGAGAAAUCCGGAUUAAUAUCCCAUAUGCUCGUACGAUCUCCUGAUCGAGCGAGGAAAGCUCCGGCGGUAAAAGAUGGGCAUGCGUCCCAUUAGCUAGUUGGUGAGGUAAUGGCUCACCAAGGCUACGAUGGGUAGGGGGCCUGAGAGGGUGACCCCCCACACUGGUACUGAGACACGGACCAGACUCCUACGGGAGGCAGCAGUGAGGAAUAUUGGGCAAUGGAGGCAACUCUGACCCAGCCAUGCCGCGUGCAGGAUGACGGUCCUUUGGAUUGUAAACUGCUUUUAUUUGGGAAUAAACCCUUCUACGUGUAGAAGGCUGAAUGUACCAUUUGAAUAAGCACCGGCUAACUCCGUGCCAGCAGCCGCGGUAAUACGGAGGGUGCAAGCGUUAUCCGGAUUUAUUGGGUUUAAAGGGUCCGUAGGCGGAUCUUUAAGUCAGUGGUGAAAUCCUGCAGCUUAACUGUAGAAUUGCCAUUGAUACUGGAGAUCUUGAGUACACUGGAAGUAGGCGGAAUACGGCAUGUAGCGGUGAAAUGCAUAGAUAUGCCGUAGAACACCGAUUGCGAAGGCAGCUUACUAUCGUGUAACUGACGCUGAGGGACGAAAGCGUGGGUAGCGAACAGGAUUAGAUACCCUGGUAGUCCACGCCGUAAACGAUGAUUACUCGUUGUUAGCGAUACACUGUUAGCGACCAAGCGAAAGCUUUAAGUAAUCCACCUGGGGAGUACGCCGGCAACGGUGAAACUCAAAGGAAUUGACGGGGGCCCGCACAAGCGGUGGAGCAUGUGGUUUAA